UGCCGGGCACUCUGUAUCGGCAUCGGAGCCCUGUUUCUGAAACAGGUGGCUGGACGUUCGACUCGUCCCCCGGCAG
rnacentral:tRNA from 1 species